UACCAGCACCCCGAGUGGUCGGGACGAUUAUUGGGCCUAAAGCAUCCGUAGCCGGUCAUGCAAGUCUUCCGUUAAAUCCAGCCGCUCAACGGUUGGGCUGCGGAGGAUACUACGUGGCUAGGAGGCGGGAGAGGCAAGCGGUACUCAGUGGGUAGGGGUAAAAUCCUUUGAUCCAUUGAAGACCACCAGUGGCGAAGGCGGCAUCCUGGACCGGCAUUGACGCUGAGGCGCGAAAGCCAGGGGAGCAAACGGG
rnacentral:rRNA from 1 species